UCCAAUGCAAUUUUACUUCAUGACAUUUUUAUAUGUCGCAACAUUCGUAGUCCAAGUGAACAUACAACAAGCGUGUGUUUUAAAAUUAAUAAUUUUACUGUUGAUUUUAAUUACUUUGUGUGUGUGACAGGUGCAACAAUCUUCAGGAAGCCAUUUCUUCACGUAUGAGCGAAGCUGUAUAACAAAUGAAGGAAACAAAAACUCGCAACACGGAAACAAUAUAUGACACAGUUUUAGAAGCUUUACCAUGCUUCGGAAAAUGGCUAGAGCAACCGCUCCGCACUGUGGCGGAGGUGUUGUGCUCGUGCAGUUCAAAUGCCUGGAGCUUCAAUUAAAGUGCCUGUAGUCGAACUUUAAACUAUUAUGGCUGAGGAGACCCAAUGAGAACGUUUAAUAAGCGAAAUUUAAAUUGUUUUGGCUUCCAUUCCAUUUUUUUUUAUUAGUGAAGGAACUAAAUUAAUAUAACACGUACAAAUGAAG